rnacentral:rRNA from 1 species
GACGAACGCUGGCGGCGUGCCUAAUACAUGCAAGUCGAACGAACCGCGACUAAGUGCUUGCACUAAGUCAAGGUGAGUGGCGAACGGGUGAGUAACACGUGGGUAACCUACCUCAUAGUGGGGGAUAACAGUCGGAAACGACUGCUAAUACCGCAUAGGACAUAGGAUCACAUGAUCCAGUGAGGAAAGGUGGCGCAAGCUAUCGCUACGAGAUGGACCCGCGGUGCAUUAGCUAGUUGGUAGGGUAAAGGCCUACCAAGGCGAUGAUGCAUAGCCGACCUGAGAGGGUGAUCGGCCACAUUGGGACUGAGACACGGCCCAAACUCCUACGGGAGGCAGCAGUAGGGAAUCUUCCGCAAUGGACGCAAGUCUGACGGAGCAACGCCGCGUGAGUGAAGAAGGUCUUCGGAUCGUAAAGCUCUGUUGUUAGAGAAGAACAGCGCAUAGAGUAACUGCUAUGCGUGUGACGGUAUCUAACCAGAAAGCCACGGCUAACUACGUG